rnacentral:rRNA from 1 species
CCUACGGGUGGCAGCAGUAGUGAAUAUUGGACAAUGGGGGGAACCCUGAUCCAGCGACGCCGCGUGAGUGAAGAAGUAUUUCGGUAUGUAAAGCUCUAUCAGCAGGGAAGAAAAUGACGGUACCUGACUAAGAAGCACCGGCUAACUACGUGCCAGCAGCCGCGGUAAUACGUAGGGGGCAAGCGUUAUCCGGAUUGACUGGGUGUAAAGGGAGCGUAGACGGUGCAGCAAGUCGGAUGUGAAAGGUCAGGGCACAACCACAGGACUGCAUUGGAACCUUUUAAACUGGAGUACGGGAGAGGUAGGUGGAAUUCCUGGUGUGGCGGUGAAAUGCGUAGAGAUCAGGAGGAAUAC